AUGACGUCAUCAUCGUCGCACCACCACGACGCCUCCUCGGCCACCUCCACCCCCCGCGCCGGGGCCGGCAGCACCACCAGCAGCAACGGCAACGGCAACGGCGGCGGCGGCAGCCACCACCACCCGCCUCCUCCGCGUGCGCAGCCGCACGGGGCAGCGUGCGUGCGCCUCAUGUGCAGCUUCGGCGGCCGCAUCCUGCCGCGCCCGGGCGACCACCAGCUCCGCUACGUCGGCGGCGAGACCCGCAUCGUCUCCGUCCCGCGCACCACCUCCCACGCCGUCCUCUUCGCCGCGCUCGCCAAGCUCGCCCCCGCGCUCUUCGUCCCCGGCGAGCCCACCCCGGCGCUCAGGUACCAGCUCCCGCACGACGACCUCGACGCGCUCAUCUCCGUCUCCUCCGACGACGACGUCGACAACCUCAUGGAGGAGCUCGACCGCGUCCACAGCCUCGCCGCCACCGCCAUCAAGCCGCCCCGCCUGCGCCUCUUCCUCUUCGCCGCCUCGCCGGACCACCCCUCCGCGGGCGCGUUCGGCUCCGUGCUCUCCGGCGUCGGCGACGCCUCCUCCGACCAGUGGUUCGUCGACCAGCUCAACGCCCCGCCGCCCGGUUCCAUCGAGCGCGGCCGAUCCGAGGCCUCCUCGAUCGUCUCGGAGGUCCCGGACUACCUCUUCGGCUUCGACACGACCUCCGAGGAGCCCAGCCCCGGCGCGGGUGCGCAGCCCAAGUCUGACGCGGAGGUGGCGCAAGGCGACGAUGACGACGACGCGCCGGCUCCCGUGCUGGGCGCUCCUCUGGUGCCAUACGUCCCGGAGAGCGCCCCGUGGCCGGCCCCGCCUCCACCGUACAUGGCGCAGCCGGUGUACUACGUGCCUGUGCGCCCGGUCCACUACCUCAACGCGGCUGCGCACGGCGGCUACAUGCCCGGGCCGGUUUACCACAUUGUCGGUGGAGGGAGAAACGAAGGCCCGGGAGAUCUCUACUCGUCUGGGGGCGUCGGUGGCGUCUACGGCGUCCCCCGCUCCAUGCCGCCAUUCCGUCAGGUGAUGUACGCGCCGCCACCCGCCACGGAAGCCUACUCGGUGGAGGGGAAGCCGCCGGAAGGUGAGUCUCACUCCCCGUAG
rnacentral:rRNA from 1 species